GCCUUAGUAGCUUAAACAAAGCAUUGGUCUUGUAAGCCAAAGCCGGGACUUUAAAACCCCCUAAGACA
rnacentral:tRNA from 1 species